CCCUUAGAUGUUCUGGGCCGCACGCGCGCUACACUGACGAAGUCAGCGAGCAUGUCCUACGCCGACAGGUGCGGGGAAUCUUGUCAAACUUCGUCGUGAUGGGGAUUGAUUAUUGAAAUUCUUGAUCAUCAACGAGGAAUUCCUAGUAAGCGCAAGUCAGCAGCUUGCGUUGAUUACGUCCCUGCCCUUUGUACACACCGCCCGUCGCUACUACCGAUUGGGUGUGCUGGUGAAAUGUUCGGAUCGGCCGUUUGUCGCGGUUUCCGCGUCAUGUGGCUGAGAAGUUCAUUAAACCCUCCCACCUAGAGGAAGGAGAAGUCGUAACA
rnacentral:rRNA from 1 species